CCUACGGGAGACAGCAGUGAGGAAUAUUGGUCAAUGGGCGGGAGCCUGAACCAGCCAAGUCGCGUGAGGGAAGACGGUCCUAUGGAUUGUAAACCUCUUUAGGCGGGGAGCAAUGCCGGGCACGCGUGCCCGGAGGGAGAGUACCCGCAGAAUAAGCAUCGGCUAACUCCGUGCCAGCAGCCGCGGUAAUACGGAGGAUGCGAGCGUUAUCCGGAUGUAUUGGGUUUAAAGGGUGCGUAGGCGGAUUUUUAAGUCAGCGGUAAAAUGUCCGGGCUCAACCCGGGCCGGCCGUUGAAACUGGGGAUCUUGAGUGGGCGAGAAGUAUGCGGAAUGCGUGGUGUAGCGGUGAAAUGCAUAGAUAUCACGCAGAACUCCGAUUGCGAAGGCAGCAUACCGGCGCCCGACUGACGCUGAGGCACGAAAGCGUGGGGAUCGAACAGGAUUAGAUACCCUGGUAGUC
rnacentral:rRNA from 1 species